AAUCUAAAGGAACAUGAAAUCCAUUAAUCUUCUUCUUGGCCUCUAAUUACUUGCUCUUUAGACAGAGGUGUACGUUCAGAAGCUGCGGCCCAGGGCUCUUAUCGGCCAGUUUUUGUUUCAAUUUGAAGUUUAAUAAGUGCACUUCCAGUUCGUUAUACCAAUGGAGAAAAUGACUGUUGGAACAUUGUCCAAGUCUUGGGUGAAAAAUAAUAUUUCAGAUAAAUCGCGUGGUUUUGUCAGCUAUUCUGUUACUUACUAAUGCUUUUCAAUGUAAAAAUCUUGAUGCAAAGGCAAACCCUCAACGAGUCCACAACGAGGCCACAACGAGGCCCCCAAAAUUAGUGUUGAGGUCUUAUUUCAUACUGAAAUUAUGCUCCAAAAAUAAAA